CCCAAUCUUUGCCACUCUGUGGUAAAACUUUUUCUUCCUCAGCUCCUUUGAUAAAUAUCACAGCAUCAUGUGGCAGAGGUCAACAUUUUUAAAUUUCCAGACUCAUAUUGUAAUUAUCUAUGAAAAAAAACAGUGCUACUGAGAUCUGGUCCUGUCAGCAAAGUCAGCGCUUGUACCUUCUCCAGGAGGCAAUACUGUCCAAGGAAGAGAACAAAGCGCGAGAAAUCUGAAUUUGGCAAAUGCUCACUCUCAGAGCCUCGUGAAGAUUUUCAGAUAGGCUUUGCAGGCUCUGAGAAUUAAGCUCGCGGCUGUGGUGUCUAGCACGUGUCAUAUCUAAUGAUUGUGUAGAGUACUGCAGGAUUGCAUAUGGGAAUUAUACGUUUCCUUUGAGUUACCAUGAACAGUACCGGUCAGGCUAAAGGACAGCGUGCUGUUUUUCUGAUCAAGUAAGGAUAUCUUAUUUCUUGUAAUAUAGAUAGGUACAGACUCCCUCGCACUGAUUUGCAGAAGUUAAUCUCAGAUGGGUUCCAGAUAAGGGAAGAGACAAAAUGAAGACCUUCAGCUUCCCUCAGCACCAAAGUACUUAACGCUCUUGGGGAGACCCACCAGCAAUCAGCAUCACCCCCAUGCAGCCCUUUCCAGGCUGUAUCCUUUACAAGAAAUGCUCCAGGGGUCAGAUCUGUCCUCCUUUAUGCUCCCCAGUUUUCUGCUAUGCAUCAUGCAUCAAUAUAUCCCAGAUGCAAGGCUAAAAUCCUUUGUCUCUCCAAACAUCCUCUGGAAAACAGGGAGUGAAAAAGAUUAACUAGAACCAGAAUCUGAAGGACGUGUGCUUCCAUAAAUGCAACACAAGGCAUGGUUUGACGGGUGGAAAUUUAUGGUGAUAAUGAAGAAUUCAAGGAGAACACAGCUUGGAUUUCAAGAAGGUCAGAAGCCUGCAGAGUUGGCAGGUGGACACGAUUUUAUGACGGAUGCUCAGAGCAAGAGACAUUUUGAAUACUUCACAAAUGGUAUCGAAGACAUGGAAUUCCUAGCUUCCAUCCUGAGAGUUAACAUUUGCUGUUUCUACAGGCUGAUCAAACCAUGGUAAUUUUUAUAAAGAUAGCAAAGCAAUAUGUUGCAUUCUAUAGUGUAUUUUUUCUGCAAACACAAAAUGUUACACGUUGCAAGUGAUUUUUGCAAGUACUUAAGGAAUCAGUAGUUCCCCAGAAUAAAAGACCCUGAAAUAUUGGAUCAUAUGGGCUCAAAAGACAUAGGACUCAUCCUACAGACACUGUUUUAUUGUACUUUAAUCAAAGCUCAAUUAGUCACAAGAUUUAAACAGAUUUCAGCAAUAAAAUGGAUGUCUCAGACUUGUCUUAUGCAACCAAAGGGCAAAAGAAUAAUGUUUUUUUUUUUAAUGGAAAACAUUUUUGCUUGAGUUAAGGAACAUUUACAAAAUAACUGCCAAAUCACACUACUUGUGAAAGUGAAAUGUUUUAAUUGGCUUUCAAAAUUUUUCUGAUGAAGCAAAUUUUUUGUCUUUUCCAUCUGCAGACCUAAAACCACCCUAUGACUGACAGUAGUUCCUUCAGGUACUGCAUUAGCACUGUCAUUAUUAUUCUUGAGUAUUAUCAGGACUCUUGUUGUAGCUCUAUGAAAUGUUUUCCUUAUGGCAGACAAAUCUUGUCACCAAAUGUUCUCUAAUGCAUUUAUAGCUGAUGUGUAUUAAAGAUAAAUAAAUAGCAAAUUAUACAUGUGACGUCACCUAAUAGUCUUGUUACGAUAUUUAUUAUGUCUGUGGCCAUACACUGGUCUAGCUCUUUCUCCCACUCUCUAUUUUCCACAAUUUAGUGAUUAAUGGUUAAAAAAGACAAAACCUUUGCCAAUUUGAACAAAUAGUUCUAGGGAUUUGAUACAUCUGGG
rnacentral:lncRNA from 1 species